UGGGGAAUUUUGCACAAUGGGCGCAAGCCUGAUGCAGCGACGCCGCGUGAGGGAUGAAGGCCUUCGGGUUGUAAACCUUUUUCGCUCAUGGUCAAGCCGCAGCUUUGGGUUGUGGUGAGGGUAGUGGGUAAAGAAGCGCCGGCUAACUACGUGCCAGCAGCCGCGGUAAUACGUAUGUUGCGAGCGUUAUCCGGAAUUAUUGGGCUUAAAGGGCAUCUAGGCGGUAAGACAAGUUGAAGGUGAAAACCUGUGGCUCAACCAUAGGCUUGCCUACAAAACUGUUGAACUAGAGUACUGGAAAGGUGGGUGGAACUACACGAGUAGAGAUGAAAUUCGUAGAUAUGUGUAGGAAUGCCGAUGAUGAAGAUAACUCACUGGACAGAAACUGACGCUGAAGUGCGAAAGCUAGGGGAGCAAACAGG
rnacentral:rRNA from 1 species